rnacentral:rRNA from 1 species
GUCGGUGUAGAUUACGCGAAGGUUCCACCCGUUCCCUUUCCGAACACGGCAGUUAAGCUUCGUUGUGCAGACAAUACUUGGUUGGUCACGACCCGGGAAGAUAUGUUAUGCCGACU